UAGAAGGGAGCGACCGGCUCACACACGGGACACGAAGAUUGACCACGCACAGCCUACAGGAUCAUCUUGGGCCCAUGAGAGAGAUGUGGAACUGCACUUGAGCUAAUGGAAAGACCCUCCCUUCCAAUCAAGUAGUAGCUGCUGGACAGUGGGCAUGGGGUGCCGAGGGCCGUGUGGGGAGAACCUGCCAGGAGUACAUCUACACCAAGGAAAGAAGGCAACAUGACACAGAUGGAGAGGAAGGGAUGCCUCCAUUCCCACAAAUAGUGCCCAAGGCGAGCUUCUCACCCUUGAUCUUGGUUCUACUGACAUAUACGUAUGGAAAUGGUUGGACUCUGAGGCUCCAUGUCUUGCUCUCUACAUAACCACUAGAAAGUACUAAAUCCAUUUAUUUAAGCCUGAUGUGAGUAAAGGAAGAGUUGGAGGAACCGGUUUCACAGGCAACAGGUGACAUGUGUCCAUUCCUGAAUCUCAAUGGAAACCACACAAAACAGAAGGAAGGUUUGGUGAGAGAUGAGCAAUAACCCAACUUUAACUCUCCAAACUCCCCUCCCCGCCUGUCAGUGCUCAGCUGGGACAUUCGGUUCAUUCUGCAUUCGCGAAAACAUCUCACAAUUGCGCGAACCUACCAAUACAACUGAUUUAGACGACACACUAGCUGGAGAAUGAUUGAGCAGAGCUCCAAACUCAAAAAGUAACAGGACAAGCAGACUUGAAACUCCCGGACUUUUUUUUUUUUUUUUUUGAUAAUUGAAUUUCAUUCAGUGUUAGCCAUUAAAAGAAAUGAGUGAAAAAAGAACCAUUUCCAAUUGCAAUUUCAGGAAAUAACCAGGAUAACAUGAACCAGAAAUUCACAUUCAGAAUCACCAAUUUUACACAUACAACUUAAAAAACAUCCUUUAUCUUCAGAAGAAGAAAUCCCUGCAUAUCUAGAGCAUGAAGCGUGUCAAAUCACGUGGUUGUAGAUGAAAAACAACAGCUUUUCACUGCUUUAUAUCUCUGGCCAUCUUCAUAGUUAGCAGUGGAACAUCAAUACAACUUUUCUAGAGAUGGUGUUAGGUAAAGGUUUCCUAAGUGACAUUGUUGUCCUGACACAUGAAACUGAAGCAGCCAAAGGGAAAGGCAACAGUCCUUUCGCAACAUUCGAACCACCUGUGCCUAGGGGUUUUCUUCAAAGGUGAGCAAAGAGGUCUUGUUUCCAGAGAGAGCGGCGGUCCCUUUCUUUUCACCAGAAGUUUCCAGAAAGUCUGCCCUCAGCCGUGACAGGCUGAACAGCUACCCAGAGGCUCUCGUUCUCCACCGAGAUCACGAAGAGUCCUGACACAUGUUAUCAUAGUUCUCCACAUAACGAUGCAGAAUUUCUACAAAGAACACCUGACAAGAACCGUUUCUGGUUGUUUCCUGAUAUUGCUCCUUUCAUCCUUACCAGGAUCCUCAUCCCCCACCCACACCCCUCCCCACAUUAAGUGGUAAAUAAAACACAUUGCCUGGCUGUUGGAAUAUUACUAUACGAGUUUCAUU